UGAGGGGCCAGUGUUUUCCUCGCGCCGCCGGCGGCGGCGGCCACCACUGGGGCUCCGUUCCCCUCUUCCCAUGCGGCCUCGCCUCCCUGAGACUGCUUGGCGGCGGCUCUGGGUGCGGUGUCAUCGUCAGAGGGCGUGCGCCGGUGGCUUCUCAUCGGCUCGCCUCUCCAUGUUCUGGUACUGUAUUAAAUUGUAGGGUCAGAAGCUGAUAUAUGGUACCUAGAGAUUAUCUGGUUGAAGUGAUCAUCACACAUAUGUUACUAUGUUAGUAUGGGCAUAAUGGAGAAAUUCUGCCAGAAGAGUAAUGCCUACGGGUUAUCUGGUGUAGACAUGCAGAUUUUUGUGGAUUGCGAUCUUCUGAUGGCUGGAUGUUGCUCCUCAUUGCUUAUAUGAUUUUCUUUCUCCGGAGCAAUGUCCGUUUCAGGGAUAUAGUAUUCCACACUGCAUGAAUGUUGGAUGCAGUCUAUAUUACAAACCGUGUUCCAGAGUGUCCUAUAGUUCACUAGAAAUCCUGUACAUUACUCCCCAUACUGCUUUGUUGGGCAAGU